GAGUUUGAUCCUGGCUCAGAUUGAACGCUGGCGGCAUGCCUUACACAUGCAAGUCGAACGGCAGCGCGGGGCAACCUGGCGGCGAGUGGCGAACGGGUGAGUAAUAUAUCGGAACGUACCCUGGAGUGGGGGAUAACGUAGCGAAAGUUACGCUAAUACCGCAUACGAUCUAAGGAUGAAAGUGGGGGAUUCGCAAGAACCUCAUGCUCCUGGAGCGGCCGAUAUCUGAUUAGCUAGUUGGUGGGGUAAAGGCCUACCAAGGCAUCGAUCAGUAGCUGGUCUGAGAGGACGACCAGCCACACUGGAACUGAGACACGGUCCAGACUCCUACGGGAGGCAGCAGUGGGGAAUUUUGGACAAUGGGCGCAAGCCUGAUCCAGCAAUGCCGCGUGAGUGAAGAAGGCCUUCGGGUUGUAAAGCUCUUUUGUCAGGGAAGAAACGGUGGGGGCUAAUAUCCCUUGCUAAUGACGGUACCUGAAGAAUAAGCACCGGCUAACUACGUGCCAGCAGCCGCGGUAAUACGUAGGGUGCAAGCGUUAAUCGGAAUUACUGGGCGUAAAGCGUGCGCAGGCGGUUUUGUAAGUCUGUCGUGAAAUCCCCGGGCUCAACCUGGGAAUUGCGAUGGAGACUGCAAGGCUAGAAUCUGGCAGAGGGGGGUAGAAUUCCACGUGUAGCAGUGAAAUGCGUAGAGAUGUGGAGGAACACCGAUGGCGAAGGCAGCCCCCUGGGUCAAGAUUGACGCUCAUGCACGUAAGCGUGGGGAGCAAACAGGAUUAGAUACCCUGGUAGUCCACGCCCUAAACGAUGUCGACUAGUUGUCGGAGGGUAACUCCUUCGGUAACGCAGCUAACGCGUGAAGUCGACCGCCUGGGGAGUACGGUCGCAAGAUUAAAACUCAAAGGAAUUGACGGGGACCCGCACAAGCGGUGGAUGAUGUGGAUUAAUUCGAUGCAACGCGAAAAACCUUACCUACCCUUGACAUGCCACUAACGAAGCAGAGAUGCAUUAGGUGCCCGAAAGGGAAAGUGGACACAGGUGCUGCAUGGCUGUCGUCAGCUCGUGUCGUGA
rnacentral:rRNA from 1 species